GUCGAGAGAGUAAACUGGCGAACGGGUGAGUAACGCGUAGGUAAUUUGCCUUUAAGUGGGGGACAGGCACGGGAAACUGUGAUUAAUACCGCAUAUUGUUGAUUUACACAAGUAGAUUAAUGAAAGUUGGGGACCUUCGGGCCCAACGCUUAAAGAUAAGCCUGCGUCUGAUUAGUUAGUUGGUGGGGUAAUGGCCUACCAAGACAUCGAUCAGUAGCUGUUCUAAGAGGAAGAUCAGCCACAUUGGGACUGAGAUACGGCCCAGACUCCUACGGGAGGCAGCAGUGAGGAAUUUUGCGCAAUGGGGGCAACCCUGACGCAGCAACGCCGCGUGACCGAUUGAAGCUUCUAGGAGUGUAAAGGUCUGUCGUGAAGGAAGAAAAAGUCCGAGAAUAAUAAGUUCGGUAAUUGACGGUACUUCACAAGCAAGCUCCGGCUAACUUCGUGCCAGCAGUCGCGGUAAUACGAGGGGAGCAAGCGUUGUCCGAAAUAACUGGGCGUAGAGGGUACGUAGGCUUUUGUGUGUGUUUUCGGUGAAAGUCAUAGGCUCAACUUAUGAAUUGCCGGAAAAACUGCAUAGAUUGAAUCCGGAAGGGGAAAGCGGAAUUCCUGGUGUAGCGGUGAAAUGCGUAGAUAUCAGGAGGAACACCAGUGGCGAAGGCGGCUUUCUGGUCCGGAAUUGACGCUGAGGUACAAAGCGUGGGUAGCAAACAGGAUUAGAUACCCUGGUAGUCCACGCCCUAAACGAUGUAUACUUGAUGUCGGGAUGUUCGGUCGUCUCGGUGUCGUAGCUAACGUGUUAAGUAUACCGCCUGGGGACUACGGUCGCAAGACUGAAACUCAAAGGAAUUGACGGGGGCCCGCACCAGCGGUGGAACAUGUGGUUUAAUUCGAUGCAACGCGAAGAACCUUACCUGGGCUUGACAUACAUAUGAAGUAUGUAAGAAAUUAUGUAUAUUUGCUGCUUGCAGUAAACAUAUGUACAGGUGAUGCAUGGCUGUCGUCAGCUCGUGUCGUGAGAUGUAGGGUUAAGUCCCUUAACGAGCGCAACCCUUGCUUUUAGUUGCCAUCAGGUAAUGCCGGGGACUCUAGAAGGACUGCCGAGGUAAACUCGGAGGAAGGUGGGGAUGACGUCAAGUCAGUAUGUCCCUUAUGUCCAGGGCUACACGCGUGUUACAAUGGCCGGUACAGAGUGCAGCAAGACCGCGAGGUGGAGCAAAUCACUUAAAGCCGGUCCCAGUUCGGAUAGGAGUC
rnacentral:rRNA from 1 species